GUUUGUUUUUUACCGCACAUGUACUAAAAUUGGAAUGAUACAGAGAAGCUUAGUAUGGCCCCUGCAUAACAACAACAUGUAACUUUUAGUGUUCUGUAUUUUU
rnacentral:snRNA from 1 species